CCUACGGGAGGCAGCAGUGGGGAAUAUUGCGCAAUGGGCGAAAGCCUGACGCAGCGACGCAGCGUGAGGGAUGAAGGCCUUCGGGUUGUAAACCUCUUUCAGCGGGGACGAAGCGAAAGUGACGGUACCCGCAGAAGAAGCACCGGCUAACUACGUGCCAGCAGCCGCGGUAAUACGUAGGGUGCAAGCAUUGUCCGGAUUUAUUGGGCGUAAAGAGCUCGUAGGCGGCUUGUCACGUCGGGUGUGAAAACUUGGGGCUCAACCCCAAGCCUGCACUCGAUACGGGCUAGCUAGAGUGUUGCAGGGGAGACUGGAAUUCCUGGUGUAGCGGUGAAAUGCGCAGAUAUCAGGAGGAACACCGGUGGCGAAGGCGGGUCUCUGGGCAACUACUGACGCUGAGGAGCGAAAGCGUGGGGAGCGAACAGGAUUAGAUACCCUGGUAGUCCACGCCGUAAACGGUGGGCGCUAGGUGUGGGGAACCUUCCACGUUCUCUGUGCCGCNGCUACGACAUAGCGCCCGCCGUCGGGAGGUACGGCCGCGACGGACGUAAACGUACGAAAGGUAAGUUAGUUACGGCGUGAGACGUGCCGACGGCGACGACGAGGGAGGAGG
rnacentral:rRNA from 1 species